AAGUUCCGACCCGCACGAAAGGUUUAACAACGGGAGCGCUGUCUCGGGGAGGUAGCCGGCGAAAUUGUAGU
rnacentral:rRNA from 1 species